GAUGAACGCUGGCGGCGUGCCUAAUACAUGCAAGUCGAGCGAACAGACGAGGAGCUUGCUCCUCUGACGUUAGCGGCGGACGGGUGAGUAACACGUAGAUAACCUACCUAUAAGACUGGGAUAACUUCGGGAAACCGGAGCUAAUACCGGAUAAUAUUUUGAACCGCAUGGUUCAAUAGUGAAAGACGGCUUUGCUGUCACUUAUAGAUGGAUCUGCGCCGCAUUAGCUAGUUGGUAAGGUAACGGCUUACCAAGGCGACGAUACGUAGCCGACCUGAGAGGGUGAUCGGCCACACUGGAACUGAGACACGGUCCAGACUCCUACGGGAGGCAGCAGUAGGGAAUCUUCCGCAAUGGGCGAAAGCCUGACGGAGCAACGCCGCGUGAGUGAUGAAGGUCUUCGGAUCGUAAAACUCUGUUAUUAGGGAAGAACAAAUGUGUAAGUAACUAUGCACGUCUUGACGGUACCUAAUCAGAAAGCCACGGCUAACUACGUG
rnacentral:rRNA from 1 species